rnacentral:rRNA from 1 species
AUUGAACGCUGGCGGCAUGCCUUACACAUGCAAGUCGAACGGCAGCACGGGAGCAAUCCUGGUGGCGAGUGGCGAACGGGUGAGUAAUAUAUCGGAACGUGCCCAGUAGUGGGGGAUAGCCCGGCGAAAGCCGGAUUAAUACCGCAUGAGACCUGAGGGUGAAAGCGGGGGAUCGCAAGACCUCGCGCUAUUGGAGCGGCCGAUAUCAGAUUAGCUAGUUGGUGGGGUAAAGGCCUACCAAGGCAACGAUCUGUAGUUGGUCUGAGAGGACGACCAGCCACACUGGGACUGAGACACGGCCCAGACUCCUACGGGAGGCAGCAGUGGGGAAUUUUGGACAAUGGGCGCAAGCCUGAUCCAGCAAUGCCGCGUGCAGGAAGAAGGCCUUCGGGUUGUAAACUGCUUUUGUCAGGGAAGAAAUCCCUUGGGAUAAUACCCCAGGGGGAUGACGGUACCUGAAGAAUAAGCACCGGCUAACUACGUGCCAGCCGCCGCAGUAAUAC